ensembl:lncRNA RNA binding motif protein 44
ACAAAUUCUGUCAUAUGAUGGUAUUGUAUUUACAUUAGGUUCCAUUCAGCAGUCGAUUUAAUAUUGUUUCCAUUGUGCGCUCGUCCCUCAGUGGUCGCAACACUGUUACCGUAAGUAUCGCAGGAAUCGGGCACUUCAACUAUAGCGACGAUUUGACCAGGGAAAAGCGAUCGGGGGUUCAUUGGACCGCGGUCUUUGACAGAGGUAAGAAGAAAGUCCUGGUUGUAACAGUGCAAAUAGUUUUACUAAGAUAGUUGUACGUUUAUACUUUUGCACUACACGUAAAUGGAAAAUAUUUUACCACAUUUUAUGUUUUGCAAGUUUAGCUUUAUUAGCGAUUUAUGUAUAAAUUAUAUUGGAGUGAAUUGUAUUGUAUACAUUGUAUAUAUUAUAUUACGAGCUGUUUACAAGCAAUUUUCAACUUUCUUUUUCUUUCUUUUAACUCCCUGAACGUGACAACGCAGCAGGAGACGAGCUUUCAUUGCUGAGUUUAAGUUGGAGCUUUGACACGUGUGGCGCUAGCUAGCCUACAAUGUGGCACGGCUGUCCGUGGGGUAGUGUCUACGGCGGGGCCGAUCCCGUACCGUUCUAUGCUAACGGCUAUGUGUUCGCCUUGGUGCCGGCGCCUCGGAUGCCCUUGCGUCACAACGCGCUGACUCUGAGUCCAAACCCAGGACUCAGGUGUCCGGACGAUGUGAUUAAAAAAAAGGAAGAGACCAGGAGGCUCCUCUUGGACAGGCGUUUGUUUGAUUUGGUGGAUGCUCAUCCUUAUCUUGAACUAACUGACCCCAAGUUGCUGGGCUGGUACCUUGGUUUGUCUGCAGAGGACAGGACGAUCAUCCAAGCUGACGGAGGACUUCAAAACUUUCUACUAAGACAUCCUGCCUUAGAACUGACUCCGCAUCACGUUUAUGUCAAGGCUAGAAGGGCUCAUAAAGCACCCAGAUCUAUUUUGCCAAGACAGAACCUGAGCACUAAUGGAAUGUCCCCUACAGUGCAAGAGUUGAACGUCUACAGCAAUAAUAUGUGGAAAAAUUCAGCUGUAUCAGACCCUACGAACAGACAGGAUGGGUCACAGAAACAGCCAUGUGAGGAUCCAGGAAUCCCAGGAAGCUUCUGUCUGGACACGGUGCUGGAGAGGUGCAGACCAAGCAGAAAGUCUGAGCACAGGAGCUUUAGGUUAGUGACCCAAGAUCAGACGCCCAACUUCAGCGAGGUCCAUCCAUCACAGUCUGAAUGGUCAACAAUUAAAAACACGUCUCUUACUGAGCUCUCCAGUUCUGACUAUCUCAGAACUACAGAAAAUGGCACAAAGAAAGAGAUUCAGGAUUGUCAGCGAUGAUCAGAAAACGUACUCGGGUACAGUCUCUCCAAAUGGUGAAACACUAGCACCCAGGAGUGAGCUCUUAGACGGCGGUCAGUCUCUCAACAACAGCUGCUCUGAGGAAAAAGGCCCUUUUCCGCUGCCUCGUGUUUCCUGUGACACAGAGUCUGCACAGUGUGUGUCAGCUUUCACCCAAACCAAUGAUCCAGUAUCAUCAGACAAGCAAAUCAAUACUGAAAUCUGCAUGGCAGAUGUGGACUACGUUGCUGUGGAAUUUCUCAGGCUCAAGAAAACUGAAGAGAAAGUGAAGAAUAAAUGUGACUGCAUGCAGCGCGCUCAACAAGCCGAGCUGUCUCUGCUGAGCCUGCAGUACCGCAUGUGCAGACAGCAUUGUUGGAGUCUCCACUGCGCCGCGGCUGGUGGAAACCAGGGCAGCGCUGAUGGGAAGCAACAUUGUCCAGUGGACCCUCCUGCAGACAUCAGUGCUGUUUUGAACAAACUGGAAUCUGACUAUAAUGAGCUAAGUGGUAGGAUCCUGGAAGGGGUUCCUCUAGAGCAACUGAAGCCUCUGUCAGUCAACUGUGGGAAGAUAACCCCAGCGCCUUACAUUCCUGCACAGGUCAUCGCCAGCAUGCAAGGAAGUGUUCCUCAACCGCCCCAGGAUCUGCAGAGGAACAGAACACCAACAAAUGACUCCCAGAGAGAAACCAAAGAGGUUACCCAGCAGAACAGCUCGGCCAAGAGAGCAGUCCCUGUCGUUCCUCAGGCGAGUGGAGCUCUGUGUGAUGCACAGACACUGGCAGACACUCAGACGGUUGACUGAUCAACCUCAUGGCUCCAGCGUCCACAACUCUGAUGACUGAGCUGACACGGUGCCAUCUGGACCUGGAGGCAGGAGAACUUGGGAGUCCGGGUGGAACUGAGGCCAUGUGCCAAGUUAUGAAGGAUCAGUCCUUUGGUGCCUGGAAUGUUGUGUUAACAUUAAUUUUGUUGCAUGUUGAAAUAGUUUGACAGCAGUUUAUUUCCAAGGCUUUUUUCAGUAACCUGUGUUCAUAUGAAAACAGUAUAUGAAUAUCUUGUUCUAAGGUUGUGUUUAAGGUUGCUCAUGUUGGAUGUGCAGGAAUUUGGUUGUCUGUUAAUAAAAAGUAUGUACAAAAACGCUUUGGUUAUUAU